rnacentral:rRNA from 1 species
CCUACGGGAGGCAGCAGUGGGGAAUAUUGCGCAAUGGGCGAAAGCCUGACGCAGCGACGCCGCGUGAGGGAUGAAGGUCUUCGGAUCGUAAACCUCUGUCAGCAGGGAAGAACGGUCACUGUGCUAAUCAGCAGUGAAUUGACGGUACCUGCAAAGGAAGCACCGGCUAACUCCGUGCCAGCAGCCGCGGUAAUACGGAGGGUGCGAGCGUUAAUCGGAAUUACUGGGCGUAAAGCGCUCGUAGGCGGUAUGUCAAGUCAAGGGUGAAAUCCCCGCGCUCAACGUGGGAACUGCCUUUGAAACUGGCAAACUGGAGUGUGUGAGAGGAUAGUGGAAUUCAAGGUGUAGGAGUGAAAUGCGUAGAUAUCUGGAGGAACAUCAGUGGCGAAGGCGAGUAUCUGGCACAUAACUGACGCUGAGGAGCGAAAGCGUGGGUAGCAAACAGGAUUAGAUACCCCAGUAGUC